rnacentral:rRNA from 1 species
UACGUAGGAUGCAAGCGUUGUCCGGAAUUAUUGGGCGUAAAGCGAACGUAGGCGGCUUCUUAAGUUUGGUCUUAAAGACCGGGGCUCAACCCCGGGAAUGGACUGAAUACUGGGAGGCUGGAGGAUGUCAGAGGAAAGUGGAAUUCCCAGUGUAGCGGUGAAAUGCGUAGAUAUUGGGAGGAACACCGGUGGCGAAGGCGGCUACCUGGACCGGUUCUGACGCUGAUGCGCGAAAGCGUGGGUAGCAAACAGG